GGCCCCGCCCCGGUUGCCCCAGCGACGAGGGGCCGCCGUACGGCGGCUGGAUCAUGGCGGCGUCUGUGGGGACGACUCCCGGGGGGACGACCCCCGCGGGGAUGACUCCGGCGGGAACCACGCCCGAGUCGGAGAAGGAUACUGAAUUCCAGGAACAUGAAAGGAUUCUGUGUCCAGAUUUUCUUUCAGUUGCCCAGAUCACCGAAAUGCUAGCAGAGGAUGUAGAUGGAGUUCAACAGAAACUGGAAAAGUUUCUGAAUUUCAGAAAUCUUCAAACCUGUUUAAAGGAAGCCAGUCUACUAGAUUAUUAUGUAUCUGGAUUUUUGUGGGCGAGAGGAAUGGACUUUUCUAUUAUUCAAUAUUCAAAAUUUAUGACUUUACUGGAUAUGUUACUUCAUAAUCUUAAAACACUGCAUAUGUCCUUAGAAGACAGCAUAAAAUGGCUCAGAGAAGUUAUGGCUGAAAUAGGACCAUCCCAUUCACAAAAAAAUGAGGAAUGGAAUAUCUUUGAUGUAAGACAAGCCAAUGCUAUUGUUGAUUACCUGAAAAUCAGCUUAUUUCAACACUACAAGCUAUAUGAGUUUCUGUUCUUCUCUGCCAGGGAAGAAAUUGUGAUAGGAACUGAGCAAGUGAUAGAGGUUGUGAAGCCUGCAGGUCACCCCUUCCCUGAUCCUCUAGAAGAAGGAAUCUCAUUUGAUAUUUACUCAACAUUCAUAGAGCCACCUCCAAUACUGGAUAUGGAAAUGAAGGGGUUGAAUCAAGAACAAGGCCCUGAAGAGUCCCAGCCAGAAGCUGACACUUCAGAGACUGAUCCAUUAGUUGGUUUCACCAUUGAAGAUAUAAAAUUGGUGCUGGGUCAAGUCACAGAUGACAUUUUAAUCAGCAUUCAGGAUAACCCAAAAACCACUGCCCAUCCCUAAUACCCACUGUCCAGUUAUUGGAUCAGCCUCUUUGCCAGAAUUCCCAGCCAUCUCUGUCUCUCCACUGGAACCUGUGGAUCGAUACAUCCUCCCAUGUUUCAUCAUCCAUCAAGUGAGAAGAACCGUCCUCCCUCCAGCCACCCGUCUGCAUCCGGGGCCGCCGGGAGGAACAGGUGAGAUGGGUGGGAAAGUACUGUGUAAAGUCUCAGCUUUAGGGACACUGCUGAACUCCUUGUUUUCGGUUAACCACUGUUUUCUCCUGAGAAGGUGGUGGCAUCCUUGGCUCUUCUCCCACAUCCUUCUUCAUCCCGCUUUCCCCCAAGCCACGGGAGAAGUGAACAGGCUGUUCUGAGGCCAGCCUUCCUGCUGCGUACAGCUCACCACUUCUGGUGAGCUCUGUGUGCAUGGCCCCAACAAGGGCUUUUAAGCUGACAAGGCCUUACCCUUGACAGCAUGACACUUGACAACAUGGCUUCACAUAAAUAGAAAAACAAUAUCCUGCAGCCCAACAUGUCUCACAGCCUCCAUUCCGAGCCCUCACCUUGACCUACUUGUUCCUGACCUUGUGACUAGCACUUAUUGCCGUUGUUUGCCUCACCUUUCCAGAUAGUUCCAGUUACCUAGUUCUUGCCUUUUGAGUCUCUUCUCCAUCAUGAUUUAAAUGAUUCACUUAAUCACAGUCCCUUUACCCACUCCCCCUCGGUCCCAGCGCCUUGCACCCCAGCCCUGAUAACGGGACACAGAGAUUUUAUAUACACUGUAGUAGCGAAGAUGUGUCUCCCCAAACAGGCAGUGAAAGGAUUUCUGCCAGCACAUUUUCUCUUUUGGAGGUACAGACUUAGAACAGUUGGACCAUUUCAAAUUCUAUGGAACAGGUACCUUGAGAGAAGGUGACAAGAAGAAAAGUAGUAGUUUUCCCCCGCCACUCACCUCAUCUUCCAACUUUAAAUGUUACCACACACCAACAGAACACAGAGGAACCAUAACCUGUUUGUGUCUCUCCAUUUGCCCUUGAUUUUUAUUGAAUGGGAAAGGAAGACUAAUUCAAAUUCAAAUUCAUUCCUCCUGAUUUCACAACAAUAUAGACUUUACCAAACUUUUUAUUUAAAUUUCUACACUGUAGUGAGAGCAAGACCUCGCCAGUCUUGUUCACUGGAGUAUUUCUAGAACUUAGCACACAGAAGGUGUUUAAAAAAUACUUGUUGCCUGAAUGAAUGCGCAAGAAGAAAAAAAAAAGUGACAUUUGAAAGAUUUCUUAUUAUCUGAGGCUGAUAGUGAACUUAAUGAUUUAGAGAACAAGUAUCCAGCUGCAGAGCCCACUAAUACCUUUUAAAAUGUGUUGAUGCUCAUAAACCCAAAAUAAGCAACCUGUAAAACCACUUAAGAAGAAAUAAUACGCAUUUAAUCAGGCUUCCAGAGGAACGUCUGAGGGAAAAGCUGAGAAUUUCAAGAAGAAUUAUUAAAUCCCUUCAAAUUCCAUCACGUGUGGCCGAUCACAGACACGCCACAUGUUCUUCUGCCCACAGGGCUGUCACUUUAGGAAAUCUCGCUCAGCCCUUCGUUAUGAAACUCCUAAAUUACAGCCACCUCCUGCAGCCAGAGGGAAAAGCUUUGGAUCAGCUGAAAAGGGUAAGUCCUCUUACAGGUCUACCCAGCACGUGGUGCCACAUUCCACAGAAAGAUCUUAAGUACAGAGGGAGAAUUGAACACAUCACCCACAUCCUAAAGCCAGCAUCUUCAAAGUCUUAUGCACGGCUUUAGCUUCAAGUCAAAGGGCUCUUCCUCUGGCCAAUAAAAUUCAAAACACUGUGAAAUGCCAGUCUGUGCCUCUGCUUUAUAAUCCUGUUGAAGUUUUUGGGCUCUUACUGUGUUCUGGAACCUUCUAUCCCAUCCUGGAUUUUAGCUCUUAGUCUGCUAAUGAGAGUCACUUUACCUUUCCCGGAGUGUGAUUAAGGUCCUGCGGGUGGUAGUAAAAUGGAUCCAUCUUUUUUGUUACAAACUCAGUUAGCAGAAGUUGGAAUUGCUCUCUUCAACAAAGUUACAUAAAUUGUUAAUGAGAAAUUUACGUUCACUUGAUGCGCUAGUUGCCUUAUUAGCUUGGAGUCAAUGCUAUUAAAAGAGAAGAUGUUUAUUAAAGCUUAAGGUGUUUGCUGGAUUGAAUGUUCAAAAGAAGAUGGCAGGGUAGCACCACUGACUGCCUGCUUCCAAAACCCAGAGGGGUUUCCAUGAUCCAUCCAAAAGUGAACAACUUUGAGACCUCAUUUGGAGUCUCCUCAUCAGAGAAAUAGCGAUUUACCUGGAAGGUAGAAGUGCCACCUAUUCCUGGGGUGCAUCUAAAGCUUCUCUUUUCAACAACUGUAGUGAGAGUGUUUUCUCAGUCCAGUGGACACCAGCCUGAAGAAAGGCCACCCAGUUGCAAACGAGUCUGAACACCUUUCCUCUUCUGGUAAGGAAGGAACUAAAACACCCCCCAUAAAUGUCAGGGGCAUAGAAGAAGGAGGCUAUUUAUUUACUCAAGAAAAUAAAUAGGUCAACAUGCAGGCCUCAGAACCACCACCCAAAGAAAACUCCAAUGUCUCCCUGAUGUGGCAUACCUAAAAUGCCUCCUCUGAAUAACCAGGACCAGCUCUAAGCGAAGCGGCAAGGUCAGUCGAGGUUGUUUUGGGCCCCUUUUCCCUUUCUCUCAGAAAUGCUCUCCUGCACCCCCACCAUGUAGCCUGUAGGCUGGCUCACCCUCAUCCAUUCCAACCCCUUAAGAGCCACUGUUUGGCCCUGCAGAAGCUGACAAGCUAAAUGGUCCCAUUUCCCAGGGUGCUCUGCAGCUUAGGUUUGACAUGAAACCUGACUUCAGCCAAGCAGACACUCCCCCAGGACAUUCUGAAGCUGAAAGUAAGUGUCAAGGUGGAGGCUGCACCUACCCUUUCUGCUAGCCAGCACAGGGAGGAGACAUGUGGGUCCACACCCUAGCACUGUGACUACUGAGAGGCAAGUCAAGGGUUGCUUUGUUGGUGCAGGUUGGGGUAGAUGCGGUGAGGUGCAAGAGUCAGCAGUUGUCGAGGUGACUUCCUCCUUCACCAGCUUGAUCGUGGCAGAGGCAGCAGCUGCCUCAGUGGGUCAAUUCUGAGGUGUUGUUCUAGGGUGUGACUCCUGGAAAUUCUGCUGAAAGCCUCCUCCUCCAGCCUUUCUAGGGAUUUUUGUAAGCUCCUCAUUUCUUGCAUGAAAUCCAUUUUUGCUUUAAAAAGAAUAGCUAGACUGAAUUCUAUUAUCUACAACUAAACUCUGGCAGAGACACUUCCUGCCUACAUAAGCAACCAAGUCCCUUAAUGCUUGCUCCC